GUCUCUGCUCAUUUGAUUGAGCAGCCUAAUUAUUUAGGUCUGCCAUUCUUUAGGGAAGGAAAUACAAAAUGGACAGUUGCCGGGCCAACUUGUGGACUGGCAGCAACUGCUUCUCUAGCACUAGUACCAAAGUUAUUAGGGGAGUCUUUUCCAGCAGGUCUGUAGUAAAGAUAAUACCAUCUUUCCUUCGUCCUCCUGCUCUCAGUCCUCAUACUGCCCCCAAUAUUUGGACUUUGAGUACAUGAGUCUUCACAUAGGUAACCCAAUAUGGUAACUGUUUCCAAAGCAGCAGCCAUACGGAAUUCUUGUGACUAGAGAAGCUCCCUAUAGUUGCUGACAUUAAUUGCAAGAAGUAACUAUAUACAACUUUGAGAAGUAAAUAUUUCCAAAAAACAAAGUUCUGAUAUGGGAUGAAAUUGAGAAACCUAGUAAUAUUUGUAAACAAAAUUGAAUUAAAAA